rnacentral:rRNA from 1 species
ACGGGUGAGUAAUGCCUAGGAAUCUGCCUGGUAGUGGGGGAUAACGUUCGGAAACGGACGCUAAUACCGCAUACGUCCUACGGGAGAAAGCAGGGGACCUUCGGGCCUUGCGCUAUCAGAUGAGCCUAGGUCGGAUUAGCUAGUUGGUGAGGUAAUGGCUCACCAAGGCAACGAUCCGUAACUGGUCUGAGAGGAUGAUCAGUCACACUGGAACUGAGACACGGUCCAGACUCCUACGGGAGGCAGCAGUGGGGAAUAUUGGACAAUGGGCGAAAGCCUGAUCCAGCCAUGCCGCGUGUGUGAAGAAGGUCUUCGGAUUGUAAAGCACUUUAAGUUGGGAGGAAGGGCAUUAACCUAAUACGUUAGUGUUUUGACGUUACCGACAGAAUAAGCACCGGCUAACUCUGUGCCAGCAGCCGCGGUAAUACAGAGGGUGCAAGCGUUAAUCGGAAUUACUGGGCGUAAAGCGCGCGUAGGUGGUUUGUUAAGUUGGAUGUGAAAUCCCCGGGCUCAACCUGGGAACUGCAUUCAAAACUGACUGACUAGAGUAUGGUAGAGGGUGGUGGAAUUUCCUGUGUAGCGGUGAA